CACAGAGUCUGGGAAAUGAGUUCAUCCUUCGCUCUCAAGUCACAGAAAUAUUGAGACGAGGUCUAAAUUGCUGGCAGUUGGUGUAUCUACCACCUGUUGAUCCUAAGAUGACGCACCAAACCAGAUCGCUUGUCUCUGUGUUCCUGCUGCAAUGUCUUUAAUGUUGGUCCAAAUAUUAGACAAAUGCAAAUGGCAGAGUGGAAUUCUAACUACAGAGAGACCCAGAGAGACACUGGAUAGAGAGGGAAGUGGUCUGGGAUGGAGGUUGCUUGGUAACCGCUGUGUGUCCUGAGCGGUGGAGGGAAGCUGUGGAAUCUUGACAAAGCGUGAAAACAACACACACACACACACCCACACACACUGAGCCACAGACACGUCCGCAGACAGGGGGAUCAGACACAUAAAAUAUGUAUAGACGCUAACAGCAUGCAUCGCUGUGACACACACACACAUCAACAGACUUGUUUACACAAACAAGUUAAGGUCACUUGGGUGCGAUGGAUUGCCCUCAAUAUGUCAGUCUCGCCACGCUUACUUUUAUGUCAACAAAUCGAUGCUCCCGCCCAUACCUCAACCUAAGAAGCACUUACAUUUACACACACACACACACACACACA